UACGAAGGGGGGCUAGCGUUGCUCGGAAUCACUGGGCGUAAAGGGUGCGUAGGCGGGUCUUUUAAGUCAGGGGUGAAAUCCUGGAGCUCAACUCCAGACUGCCUUUGAUACUGAAGAUCUUGAGUUCGGGAGAGGUGAGUGGAACUGCGAGUGUAGAGGUGAAAUUCGUAGAUAUUCGCAAGAACACCAGUGGCGAAGGCGGCUCACUGGCCCGAUACUGACGCUGAGGCACGAAAGCGUGGGGAGCAAACAGG
rnacentral:rRNA from 1 species